rnacentral:rRNA from 1 species
GUAGGGUGCAAGCGUUAAUCGGAAUUACUGGGCGUAAAGCGUGCGCAGGCGGUUAUGUAAGACAGUUGUGAAAUCCCCGGGCUCAACCUGGGAACUGCAUCUGUGACUGCAUAGCUAGAGUACGGUAGAGGGGGAUGGAAUUCCGCGUGUAGCAGUGAAAUGCGUAGAUAUGCGGAGGAACACCGAUGGCGAAGGCAAUCCCCUGGACCUGUACUGACGCUCAUGCACGAAAGCGUGGGGAGCAAACAGGAUUAGAUACCCUGGUAGUCCACGCCCUAAACGAUGUCAACUGGUUGUUGGGUCUUCACUGACUCAGUAACGAAGCUAACGCGUGAAGUUGACCGCCUGGGGAGUACGGCCGCAAGGUUG